rnacentral:rRNA from 1 species
GAUGAACGCUGGCGGCGUGCCUAAGGUAUGCAAGUCGAGCGGUAAGGCUCCUACAGAUUACUUAAAUUUAAAUUUGAGUAAUGCGUAGGAGUACACGAGCGGCGGACGGCUGAGUAACGCGUAGGAAUGUACCCCAAAGUGAGGGAUAAGCACCGGAAACGGUGUCUAAUACCGCAUGUGCUCUUCGGAGUAAAGCUACGGCGCUUUGGGAACGGCCUGCGUAAGAUUAGCUUGUUGGUGAGGUAAUGGC